rnacentral:rRNA from 1 species
UACGUAGGGUGCGAGCGUUGUCGGAAUUAUUGGGCGUAAAGAGCUCGUAGGCGGUGUGUCACGUCGGCCGUGAAAACCUGCAGCUUAACUGUGGGCGUGCGGUCGAUACGGGCAUCACUGGAGUUCGGCAGGGGAGACUGGAAUUCCUGGUGUAGCGGUGAAAUGCGCAGAUAUCAGGAGGAACACCGGUGGCGAAGGCGGGUCUCUGGGCCGAUACUGACGCUGAGGAGCGAAAGCGUGGGGAGCAAACAGG